GAAAUGCGAUAAGUAAUGCGAAUUGCAGAAUUCAGUGAAUCAUCGAAUCUUUGAACGCACCUUGCGCUCCUUGGUAUUCCUUGGAGCAUGCCUGUUUGAGUAUCAUGAAAUCUUCAAAGUAAAUCUUUUGUUAACUCAAUUGGUUUCUACUUUGGUAUUGGAGGUCUUUGCAGCUUCACACCUGCUCCUCUUUGUUCAUUAGCUGGAUCUCAGUGUUAUGCUUGGUUCCACUCGGCGUGAUAAGUUAUCUAUCGCUGAGGACACUGUAAAAGGUGGCCAAGGUAAAUGCAGAUGAACCGCUUCUAAUAGUCCAUUGACUUGGACAAUACUUUUAUGAUCUGAUCUCAAAUCAGGUAGGACUACCCGCUGAACUUAAGA
rnacentral:misc_RNA from 1 species